AUGAUUGUUUCCUUCGACCACCAAUGCUUUCACCAAUAUUUGGCUGAUUACCCGGCAGAUUGCUUUCAAGUGAAGCUGAUAUAUUUUCACCAAGCUCGCUAUUUUUACCUGUUCUCGUCUCCCAGCACUUAUCUUUGACUUGUUCCGAGGAGAAUGGUGGCAACUCGUCGCAAAUUUGAUGAAAAUAGAGGGAAGCCGAUUUUUUACCAGUUAAAGCGGAACAAGUGUCCUUGGAGGAACAAAUUGACUCCUGGAAAGUGUUCAAAAUAAGUGUUAUCCACAUUUCGAUAUUCUGUUGGACCAAGUUCGUUGAAUUGAGAAACUUUUCAUUUGAUGCAACCAGAUUUGAUUGAAUUGAUCGUGUUUUUUUUCUUUUGAAAGAUGUAACGGCAAUUGGGAAAAGAUGAUUUCUUUACUUGACAACUUUUGCAAGAUUACAAUUUAAGGAGGAAUUUCAAUUUUCAAUUUCAAGAGAAAAAAAGGAAUACAAUUAGGAAGGCAAAUGUUUCGGUUUGGAGUGAACUAAGAAAGUUUGACAGAAGGUUCACUUAUUUAUAUGGAUUUCAAAUCUGGAUUCGGUAAAGAGCAAACUCACAAGGAGAAUAGGAAAAAGACAGAAGAAGGUGUGAAAAAGAGAGAAGAUGAUAAAUGCUUACGUCAAAGGAAAACCUCAAUCUAAACUCCCAGGAUCGCACUGGAAUAACGUUCAAGGCAACUCAAGAAGAAAGGAAAAAUUUGGGAGAAGAAGAAAGACAAAGGCUGAAGGCUAAAGGCUCAAGUUGAAAGAGUUUCCAGAAAGAUAAUUCAGAACAAAGUUCCUGGAGAAAGUAAGAACCAGAUGAUGGAUCAAUAGUACAUGGUGUUUGGAUGCUGGGAAAAACCUAGGAUUUUUGGGAGACAAAAUUGAGGCAAAAGAAAGAGAUUCAAAGUUGGAAGGAUAUUUUUAGAAACUAUGACCUCCUAUCCUUUGCCAUUUGUACAAGAAGUGUACCCAAGAAUACUAUUGUUUCCCCUUUUUCAGCCUCUCUUCUCACCUUAAUUUGCUGAUGGAAAGACAUGGAGAAGGUGAUUGCUGUGAACCCUUUCCAUGAUAAAAUAUUUACCAUUUCUUCAUCUUGGCGCAUGAACUUAGAUUUACUAUUACCUUGACCGGAUUGCCUUUGGCAAGGUAAAGGUAAACCUAAACUGGUUACAUUAUAUCAGUGAAUUUGAUAAUUUUGCAAAUUAAUCAGAUUUUCUCUAUAAAAUUAAUUCUCAGAUUGCUGAUGUAAGGGAAAAGAGGAAAGAGUAGGCUAGUAAGAAAUAGCAGAAAGAGAAAGAUGAUUCUGGUGAAGGAAUAAAAAAAGAGGUUGAAUGAAAAGGAGGUCACCAGCGUAUUAAAACAGGGAAGGAGUUUGAAUGCAAUGAAGACGAAGCAAAUCAAGGUGGAGCUCAACAUGAAAUAAUAAUAGUAUUAUUAAAAAAAUAAUAUUAUUACAUGAGGCUAAAAAUAGAUUUUCAUUCCUUCUCAAAUUUAUUAUCAUGGUUAGUAGUACAAGAGAUUGCCUUUGUGCACCAAAAAUUGUGAAUGAAUACAUAUAUAUGGCAACCUUUCAUCCUUUACCUCCAAGCUCCUCCUUUUAACCCUGUUUUACCCAAAAUCCUAAUAAUACUACAAUGUCCUUGUCUCAUGUUGAAAAGAUAAUAAGACUGACAAGAUGAUUCUCAUUGAUUAAUGCUAAAUUUGGAUUUGAUUUUUUUUCUGCUCUUCAUGUUCUCUUCAAAAUUGAUCCCAAAAAAAUUUUACACUUUCUAUUCAAUUUCGUUUCUCUAACCAUUUUCAUACCUUUUUUUACCUUUUUUUGCACUAAAGAAAUACAAAUUUAAUCCAAAAGCAAAGUCUAUUAUUAUCGAUAUUCAUCAUUUCACUGUUCCUGGAACUUGAUUGUUCAGCAAAUCCUUUUGUUACCCACUUUUGGCCACUUCAACGUGCAACUCAAGUAAAUAACUCUGAUGGUGACUAUUCAUUAUGAAAACCUUUUCAUUGGCCAAACCAAGCGUCAUCACUCUGCCUUUCAACAACAUUUCAAGUUUACCUGAAAAAAUGUGACAAAUUUCUCUAAAUAUUGAUAAUAAUAGAUUACAAGCCAUUCAUUUGACCUACAUUUCAACUCGCAAAUUGGUAACAAUUUACUAAUCAGCACGAAAAAAGUCACAGAGAGAAAAUUCGCUGUCAAAUUAUAUCGCUAUGUGGCAUGAUUGAACACUUUCAAUCACCAAAAGACAAAAUGUCCAAAAUGACUGGGAAAAAAGUCUAGAUCAACUAAAUGAAGUUGCUUGAAAAAGGAUCAGAUAACUACUUUGGAAAAAAAGAUUUGAAAAAACCUUUGAAAUUCAACUCCAAUUAAAUUAAACAUUUUUGCUUUUCUUA